ACUAGGCAAAAUGGUGCCGUAACUUCGGGAGAAGGCACGCUGAUAUGUAGGUGAAGUGAUUUACUCAUGGAGCUGAAAUCAGUCGAAGAUACCAGCUGGCUGCAACUGUUUAUUAAAAACACAGCACUGUGCAAACACGAAAGUGGACGUAUACGGUGUGACGCCUGCCCGGUGCCGGAAGGUUAAUUGAUGGGGUUAUCCGUAAGGAGAAGCUCUUGAUCGAAGCCCCGGUAAACGGCGGCCGUAACUAUAACGGUCCUAAGGUAGCGAAAUUCCUUGUCGGGUAAGUUCCGACCUGCACGAAUGGCGUAAUGAUGGCCAGGCUGUCUCCACCCGAGACUCAGUGAAAUUGAACUCGCUGUGAAGAUGCAGUGUACCCGCGGCAAGACGGAAAGACCCCGUGAACCUUUACUAUAGCUUGACACUGAACACUGGUCCUUGAUGUGUAGGAUAGGUGGGAGGCUUUGAAGUGUGGACGCCAGUCUGCAUGGAGCCAUCCUUGAAAUACCACCCUUUAAUGGCUGGUGUUCUAACGUGGACCCGUUACCCGGGUUGCGGACAGUGUCUGGUGGGUAGUUUGACUGGGGCGGUCUCCUCCUAAAGAGUAACGGAGGAGCACGAAGGUUAGCUAAUCCUGGUCGGACAUCAGGAGGUUAGUGCAAAGGCAUAAGCUAGCUUGACUGCGAGAGUGACGGCUCGAGCAGGUGCGAAAGCAGGUCUUAGUGAUCCGGUGGUUCUGAAUGGAAGGGCCAUCGCUCAACGGAUAAAAGGUACUCCGGGGAUAACAGGCUGAUACCGCCCAAGAGUUCAUAUCGACGGCGGUGUUUGGCACCUCGAUGUCGGCUCAUCACAUCCUGGGGCUGAAGUAGGUCCCAAGGGUAUGGCUGUUCGCCAUUUAAAGUGGUACGCGAGCUGGGUUUAGAACGUCGUGAGACAGUUCGGUCCCUAUCUGCCGUGGGCGCUGGAGAAUUGAGGGGGGCUGCUCCUAGUACGAGAGGACCGGAGUGGACGCAUCACUGGUGUUCGGGUUGUCAUGCCAAUGGCAUUGCCCGGUAGCUAAAUGCGGAAGAGAUAAGUGCUGAAAGCAUCUAAGCACGAAACUUGCCCCG
rnacentral:rRNA from 1 species